rnacentral:rRNA from 1 species
CCUACGGGAGGCAGCAGUGAGGAAUAUUGGUCAAUGGGCGUAAGCCUGAACCAGCCAAGUCGCGUGAGGGAUGAAGGCCCUAUGGAUCGUAAACCUCUUUUAUAAGGGAAUAAAGUGCGGGACGUGUCCCGUUUUGUAUGUACUUUAUGAAUAAGGAUCGGCUAACUCCGUGCCAGCAGCCGCGGUAAUACGGAGGAUCCGAGCGUUAUCCGGAUUUAUUGGGUUUAAAGGGUGCGUAGGUGGCUUUUUAAGUCAGCGGUGAAAGUCUGUGGCUCAACCAUAGAAUUGCCGUUGAUACUGGGAGGCUUGAGUAUGUUUGAGGUAGGCGGAAUGCGUGGUGUAGCGGUGAAAUGCUUAGAUAUCACGCAGAACCCCGAUUGCGAAGGCAGCUUGCCAAGCCAUGACUGACGCUGAUGCACGAAAGCGUGGGGAUCAAACAGGAUUAGAUACCCCAGUAGUC